rnacentral:rRNA from 1 species
UAGGGAAUCUUCCGCAAUGGACGAAAGUCUGACGGAGCAACGCCGCGUGAGUGAUGAAGGCCUUCGGGUCGUAAAACUCUGUUGUUAGGGAAGAACAAGUACCGUUCGAAUAGGGCGGUACCUUGACGGUACCUAACCAGAAAGCCACGGCUAACUACGUGCCAGCAGCCGCGGUAAUACGUAGGUGGCAAGCGUUGUCCGGAAUUAUUGGGCGUAAAGCGCGCGCAGGCGGUCUCUUAAGUCUGAUGUGAAAGCCCACGGCUCAACCGUGGAGGGUCAUUGGAAACUGGGGGACUUGAGUACAGAAGAGGAGAGUGGAAUUCCACGUGUAGCGGUGAAAUGCGUAGAGAUGUGGAGGAACACCAGUGGCGAAGGCGGCUCUCUGGUCUGUAACUGACGCUGAGGCGCGAAAGCGUGGGGAGCAAACAGGAUUAGAUACCCCCGUAGUCC